GACGAACGCUGGCGGCGUGCUUAACACAUGCAAGUCGAACGGAAAGGCCCUGCUUUUGUGGGGUGCUCGAGUGGCGAACGGGUGAGUAACACGUGAGUAACCUGCCCUUGGCUUUGGGAUAACUUCAGGAAACUGGGGCUAAUACCGGAUAGGAGCUCCUGCUGCAUGGUGGGGGUUGGAAAGUUUCGGCGGUUGGGGAUGGACUCGCGGCUUAUCAGCCUGUUGGUGGGGUAGUGGCUUACCAAGGCUUUGACGGGUAGCCGGCCUGAGAGGGUGACCGGCCACAUUGGGACUGAGAUACGGCCCAGACUCCUACGGGAGGCAGCAGUGGGGAAUAUUGCACAAUGGGCGGAAGCCUGAUGCAGCAACGCCGCGUGCGGGAUGACGGCCUUCGGGUUGUAAACCGCUUUCGCCUGUGACGAAGCGUGAGUGACGGUAAUGGGUAAAGAAGCACCGGCUAACUACGUG
rnacentral:rRNA from 1 species